rnacentral:rRNA from 1 species
AGUGAACGCUGGCGGUAGGCCUAACACAUGCAAGUCGAACGGCAGCACAGUAAGAGCUUGCUCUUACGGGUGGCGAGUGGCGGACGGGUGAGGAAUACAUCGGAAUCUACUUUUUCGUGGGGGAUAACGUAGGGAAACUUACGCUAAUACCGCAUACGACCUACGGGUGAAAGCAGGGGAUCUUCGGACCUUGCGCGAUUGAAUGAGCCGAUGUCGGAUUAGCUAGUUGGCGGGGUAAAGGCCCACCAAGGCGACGAUCCGUAGCUGGUCUGAGAGGAUGAUCGGCCACACUGGAACUGAGACACGGUCCAGACUCCUACGGGAGGCAGCAGUAGGGAAUAUUGCACAAUGGGCGAAAGCCUGACCCAGCAAUGCCGCGGGAGUGAAGAAGGCCUUCGGAUUGUAAACCCCUUUUAUGGGGAAAGAAAAAAAGCGGAAUAAACCCCGGCUGUUCUGACGGUACCCAAAAAGAAAGCCCCGGCUAACUACGUG